rnacentral:rRNA from 1 species
UACGUAGGGAGCAAGCGUUGUCCGGAAUCAUUGGGCGUAAAGCGCGCGUAGGCGGCCCUGUAAGUCCGCUGUGAAAGUCAAAGGCUCAACCUUUGAAAGCCGGUGGAUACUGCAGGGCUAGAGUCCGGAAGAGGCGAGUGGAAUUCCUGGUGUAGCGGUGGAAUGCGCAGAUAUCAGGAGGAACACCGGUGGCGAAGGCGGGUCUCUGGGCCGAUAUUGACGCUGAGGAGCGAAAGCGUGGGGAGCGAACAGG